rnacentral:rRNA from 1 species
CCCUUAGAUGUUCUGGGCUGCACGCGCGCGACAAUGACGUUUGCAACGAGAUUGCGAGGCCGUCAGGUCGAGCUGAUCUUGCAAGCUGCGUCGUGAUAGGGACAGUCGAUUGCAAUUAUUCGACUCGAACGAGGAAUUCCUUGUAAUCGCGCAUCAUCAGUGCGCGCUGAAUACGUCCCUGCCCUUUGUACACACCGCCCGUCGCUACUACCGAUUGAACGGUUUAGUGAGGGCCUCGGAUUGGUCUCGGCCCGCUCUUUACCGGGCGGCGCCGUUGGUCGAGAAGACGCUCGAACUUGAUCGUUUAGAGGAAGUAAAAGUCGUAACA